rnacentral:ncRNA from 1 species
UAAAAUAAUAAGACCUUGAUAACUCAGUGCAGAGCGUGUAAACUGCACGUGCUGAGAAAUGCUGAAUAGUCAGUCAAGUCUGUUAAAGGAUACUUUGCAGAAUUGGUUGUCAAUCAUAUGUGAGUAUGAUUGAGAAGAAUUGAGUUUCGACACUAAGGCAUUGUGCAUUGAAUAUCGCAACCAAAGGUAGGGUGCGAGUCGGCAGGGUAAUAGAAAGCAUUGAUGAUAAGUCAAUGCCGAAGCCAAGUUAGAUAGUAACAGAUGGUGCUGACUAUAAACCUUGGUAAUACCAAUAACCUGUUUGGCAGUGAAGCAGAGAAAUCUGUGUAUAAGACUUGCAUGCAACUCCGAGUAGCCUAAUGCCGAGCCAAAUGUUGAUAGCAAGCGAUAUAAGAACGCUAAAAAACAUUUGAUGAAAUGUAGGUGAAAGGUGUGGGUAAUCAAUCCCACCUACACUAAGACUGAUUGAUAAACAAUGUUUAUCAGUUAGAUGUAGGAAAAGCAAGAACUUGCAAUCCUUGCUCAUCGCCUGCAUGUAGUGACCGAAUAUGGUUGAAGAUAUAUCAGAUGUAGGGUGAACAAAAGCCCAUCAAUGAUUCUUAUUAUUU